UUCAUUAUGGUAGCCGGUUCCAAGCCCGGAUAAAGGAGGAGGGUCCCUUUUUUCUCAAUCUUUCAGUCUCAGUUUUCAUUCUUCGCCGUUUGUAUUUAUGUCUCUCAGUUUUUCUUCUCUCAGAUUAUUGUUCUCAGUGUAUAGUCAUCAGCUUUCAUUUUCAUUUUACAUGUUCAGUCUCAGUUUUCAUUUUUCGCCGUUUGUAUUUAUGUCUCUCAGUGUUUCUUCUCUCAGAUUAUUGUUCUCAGUGUAUAGUCAUCAGCUUUAAUUUUCAUUUUACAUGUUCAGUCUCAGUUAUCAUUCUUCGCCGUUUGUAUUUAUGUCUCUCAGUAAUUCUUUUCUCAGAUAAUUGUUCUCAUUUUAGAGUCAUCAGCUUUCAUUUUCAGAUAAUUACUGUCUCAGUUUUACAUGUUCAGUCUCAGAUUAUUCCUGAGUUUUACAUGUUGAUUCUCUCAGUUUUACAUUUAUCUCUAUCUCUCAUUUACUUCAUUUUGGUUCUCCUUCUCUCAGUUAUUUUCUCAGUUAUAUUUGUUCAUCUUUCCUUCCAGUCUUUAUUUGCUCAGUUUAUUGUGAGCAAUGUGUUUCUCUCGGUCCCUCAUUUCAUCAGUCAAUCUCAUUUUUAUUUUCUCCUUCAUUAUUCUUUGUUUAGUCUUGUAGUCUUCAGUCUGUCAGUUUUUUAGUUUUUCAGUCCAUCGACAAAGGAAUAGUCAGUACUCUCCUUGAGAAGUGGCAUCGUCUUACGGCGAAGAGAUCGGCGAUUCACGAUUGUGGAAGAAAUCGUAUAAGCUGGACAUGCAUUUCCUAAAUCGGUGCAGAUUGUAGCAGAUCAUCUCCGUCCGUGCAUGAAUCAGUUGACUACAUUUGAUGUGGAUGCCGUUUCGCUGCAUGGGAUUUGAUUUUGAUCCCGAAGUUCUUGUCCAGAUUCCUGCUGCUUCUUCUUCCCUCUUUUUGUUAUCUUCUUUGCUGGAGAAUCCGAGGCUGCAAACAAGUAAAAUAGCAGUUUGUUAAAUAUGAUAUUUAAAUUGACUUUUUCAGUAAGGAAAGUGUACUUUUUCUACUGGAUGUUCGCUUCACUUGCCUGUAGAUUUAGUUGUCGAUUUCCUAGUCCUUUUUUUUUGUUUUGGUAAGUUGAACACGAGAUGUUUGUUGAUGCAGUUCUUCAAUGUGUGUUCAUUGCUACCACAGUGGCUGCACUUGUAAAAUUUGUUUGUUUUGAUUUUCUCUUUGAUUGAUAGGAGCCUUGGCCACCCUUUUGUUUUAGCACGAUCAGGAUUCUGCAAUUCAAUGGUUGAGCUUGUCCCUUCUUGCACUGAUGAAUUAAAUAAGUUCGAAAUUGUUCUUGUUGAAGUAGCUUGAGCAGCUGAUUGAGUCUCCCCUGUUGCUUCUGUUACUCUAUCCAUCGCAUCCAUGUGUUCUUCAAUUCUGAGCACCUCUUGUAGUAAAUAAUUGCACUUCUCUCUGCUUUUGCAACCUUUCGAUGCUGUCUCAGUUAGUCUUCUUGACAGUAAGUUGUACCGAAGACAGUCAUUAUCUAUUUCUUCUGGUGCAGGGAGGUGGUAGUUCAGUUUCUUUUGCUUCUUUCUCCAUCUUUCGAUAAUGUACUUUUCUGGGAUUUUAUCCACUUCUAUGUGUAGCAUGACUUUAAGGAUGUGAGAGCACAAUAAGCCAUCCUUUUCAAACUUGCAGCAAACGCAGAAGUACUCCUCAUUCUGUAAAUUUACUUGCACUAUGUAGUUUCUCUGUCUAUGCUCUCUAACUGGGUAGUUAUUUGCUUGAUAUAGAAUAUAAAUCCUAUCCUUUUCUUGCUCUCGGAUACUCAGUCUUGUUACAUCUUUGAGCAAAUGCUAGAAUUUUCUGAAUAUUGACAAGUUGUAGAGCUCAUGGGCUUGUCUUUCUAUGUAGUACUUUGUGAGGAAUUUCUUUGGUUCCACUUUCUUGUUGGAUACCUUGUGGUCAAGUUCAUCUUCUGUUGCAUGUAUUGUGUCCAAUAUUCUCUGGUAUUCUCUUAGAAAGCUUGUCAUGCUAAAUUGAGCACCCACUCCUUUUUUGAAUAAUGCAUUAGUACCUUCACUUCUAGCUGUUGUUUGGAUAAAAGGAAAGAAUUUUGUCUUGAAAUACACUGGCACAAACUUCUUUCUUGAUUUCCACAUUUCAUCGAAGAACUUGACACCACUAACGUUGUAGUCUUCAAUCAUUUUAUGCCAUAGUGUUUCAAAUUCUUCUACAGUCAGUGAGUUGUCUAUGAUGUCCUGCAUUUCUUCAUACAAACCCUCGUUUGUAGCAAAUGUUGGACCAUUCUUGUUGUCACACUUCUUCUUCACAUGAAACAAGCAGCAUCUGUGUGUUGCUUUUGGGUAAACAGUAUUAAUUGCAGUAGCCAUGCCCUGGUCUUGAUCAGUCAUUAUUGACUGGGGUGGUUUACCACCCAUCACCCCUAGGAACCUUCUGAAUAACCAUUCAAAUGUAUUUGCUGUUUCAUUUACUAUGAAAGCACAAGCAAAUAGAUAUGUUUUUCCAUGUGGUGAUAUUCCAACAAACGGAGCAAAUGGUAAGUUGUAUUUAUUUGUCAGGAAUGUUGUGUACAAACUAACACAAUCACCAUAAAGAUCAUAGUACUGUCUAGACCUUGCAUCUGACCAGAAAACACUCCUUACUUUAUUUUCUCCAUCUAGACGUCUAGGGAUAGCAUGGAUCAAAGCAUAUAUCGUGGUAAAACAAUGCUAACCCUAACACAUCUACGAUAACUACGUUGCUCGCCAUCAACAAGGCUUCAGCACGAGCAACGCAUGAACAACGAAUAAACGUAUACUGCCUAGAUCGCAAGAUGCGAUCUAGGCAGCAUGAUGCUUACCCGGAAGAAACCCUCGAAACAAGGGGUUGGCGAUGCGCCUAGAUUGGUUUGUUGUGAACGUGAUUGUUGUUUUUCUCAAUAACCCUAGAUACAUAUUUAUAGUCCGUAGACUUUCUAACGUGGGAAUAAUCCCAACCGUGUACAAGCCAAAUUCUAUCUAACCGACACGUAUCCUACUAUAUUUACAGAUACACGGGCAAACUAGCCCAAACUUCGUGCACAAGGCCGAUUCAUGUAUAUCUUCCGUGUAUAUUCUUCAAGCCCAUCUUUAAUCACGGCCCACCUCUGAUCCGGUCAAAUUCUGGUGAUAACACAUGCCCCCCUGGUUUUGGAAAUGAUAAUUCCAAAAACACUCUGCUUUUCCUUCGUCGGGUCGUGUCAUGGCAGAGCAGAACCGCCGCAGUAUCCUUCAUCAUGAUGCCUUGCCUUCUCAACUUCUCUGCAAGAUUUGACAGCGUUUUGGCAUCGCCUCCUCGAAAACUGCCAUGGCAUUAAAUUUCCACUAUGUCCCAUUUAUUUAACCGUGCAGCACAGUUCACCUCUUCAUCCCCUUGCUCUGUUCUGGCCAUCGAAAAAACCCUCCUCCACCAUGGACCCAUCCUCCUCCUCUGCUUCAUCGGCUCUCUCCUUCCAAUCUUCUUCCUCGAGUGAGCCGAUGUCAGAGCAAGAGUGGGACUUUGACUUCGUGCCAGAUGGCCCACCCGAGGCCCUCGUCGGGUCAGAUGGCGACUUGCCCCUGACCGAUGGGUGAUACGUCUCCGACGUAUCGAUAAUUUCUUAUGUUCCAUGCCACAUUAUUGAUGUUAUCUACAUGUUUUAUGCACACUUUAUGUCAUAUUCGUGCAUUUUCUGGAACUAACCUAUUAACAAGAUGCCAA